rnacentral:rRNA from 1 species
UACAGAGGUCUCAAGCGUUGUUCGGACUCAUUGGGCGUAAAGGGCGCGUAGGCGGCGCGGUAAGUCGGGUGUGAAAUCUCGGAGCUUAACUCCGAAACUGCAUUCGAUACUGCCGUGCUUGAGGACUGGAGAGGAGACUGGAAUUUACGGUGUAGCGGUGAAAUGCGUAGAUAUCGUAAGGAAGACCAGUGGCGAAGGCGGGUCUCUGGACAGUUCCUGACGCUGAGGCACGAAGGCCAGGGGAGCAAACGGG